AUUUCUUUGUAUCCGAAACAAGUAUCCUGAUUCACCAAUGCUGGAAUUUGCUGGAAGAUCAAGACUAGAUGUCGAGAAAGACAGAAGAUCAUCAAACGAAGUGAAAAUCGGUUGAUGUUUCCUUCCAAGGUUGUUGAUGACUGCCAUUUCCAUGACACUUUUAAUCAAAGAGACUGUCCUGACUCAAGUUAAGAUUUGUGAUCCAUCAUGAAGACCAUUUUUUCUGAGAUGAACACAGACUGCAGUUAUGUCACUUGCUUCAAAAACAGACUUUUGACCUAGUGUGAUGGUUUACAAUUACAUGAAAUGUUUCCCAGACGUCAGGAGAUGUUAAUAGACCAGAGGAACUCCUUUGUCCAUAAUCUAUAACUCAGCGGUUGAAAACCAACAACAUUUUGGAUUGACCUGGAAGUAUAACAACUCUGUAGCCCAUGAUAAACCUCUAGAAGGAAAUGGAAAAGUUAAAAAAUAAAAGUGGAUAGUUUCUAUGCUAAUCAAGAGUGUGUGGCUGUCUUCCUCAGGCCAAAUAAAAUGAUUAAAAUAUAUGGAUAUCUUUGUAUUAUUGUAUUAUUGAUUUGAUGAGUUAUUUACUGGUUAAAAGAAGAACAUAUAUUCUCUGAACAAACUUUAUUAAAAUAGAAUUGUACAGAA